AUUGAACGCUGGCGGCAGGCCUAACACAUGCAAGUCGAGCGGCAGCGGGAAAGUAGCUUGCUACUUUUGCCGGCGAGCGGCGGACGGGUGAGUAAUGCCUGGGGAUCUGCCCAGUCGAGGGGGAUAACAGUUGGAAACGACUGCUAAUACCGCAUACGCCCUACGGGGGAAAGGAGGGGACCUUCGGGCCUUUCGCGAUUGGAUGAACCCAGGUGGGAUUAGCUAGUUGGUGGGGUAAUGGCUCACCAAGGCGACGAUCCCUAGCUGGUCUGAGAGGAUGAUCAGCCACACUGGAACUGAGACACGGUCCAGACUCCUACGGGAGGCAGCAGUGGGGAAUAUUGCACAAUGGGGGAAACCCUGAUGCAGCCAUGCCGCGUGUGUGAAGAAGGCCUUCGGGUUGUAAAGCACUUUCAGCGAGGAGGAAAGGUUGGUAGCUAAUAACUGCCAACUGUGACGUUACUCGCAGAAGAAGCACCGGCUAACUCCGUGCCAGCCGCCGCUGUAAGAC
rnacentral:rRNA from 1 species